rnacentral:tRNA from 5 species
GCCCCCGUAGCCCAAUGGCAGAGGCAUACCCCUUAAAAGGGUCGUAGUGCGGGUUCGAGUCCCGCCGGGGGCAC